rnacentral:rRNA from 1 species
UCAUGUACAUCGGCGCUCCUUCCGGGUUGACCCGACCAAACCAAUGAUGCAAGGCUUCUCCUGCUGCUGCAUGUCUUCAUCAACUUAGUUCUUCCACAGGGAGAGAUCUAAAUCCUUCACUUGUUCACUGUGUAAUCUGCAGAUUACUUCUUCCAUUAAUCACCUAGUGCUCCUGUUAGUGAGAUUCAUCUAGUAUUUUUUUUGCAAAGCAUGCAAUGGUUUGGAGUAGUUGAUCAUGGCCUGAUGGAACCUUCAUGU